rnacentral:rRNA from 1 species
AUUCACGGAGAGUUUGAUCCUGGCUCAGGACGAACGCUGGCGGCGUGCUUAACACAUGCAAGUCGAACGAUGAACCAUUUCGGUGGGGAUUAGUGGCGAACGGGUGAGUAACACGUGGGCAAUC